AAUACCCAAAAAUACGUGCAGGAUCUAAAUUCGGAUUAAUGAGACGAACAUCAUUAACGAGCGGAUCAUAGAUACCGCCAAAAUGCGUUGCCUUCAGAACAAGUAACAAAGCACCAAUGCCUAGCAUUACCAAGUGAAUGCCAAGAAUUGACGUCAUCUUGCCGCCAUCUUUCCA
rnacentral:antisense_RNA from 1 species